rnacentral:rRNA from 1 species
AAUGGGCGCAAGCCUGAUGCAGCCAUGCCGCGUGUGUGAUGAAGGCCUUAGGGUUGUAAAACACUUUCAUCGGUGAAGAUAAUGACGGUAGCCGAAGAAGAAGCCCCGGCUAACUCCGUGCCAGCAGCCGCGGUAAUACGGAGGGGGCAAGCGUUGUUCGGAAUUACUGGGCGUAAAGCGCACGUAGGCGGACUGAUCAGUUGGGGGUGAAAUCCCGAGGCUUAACCUCGGAACUGCCUUCAAUACCGUCAGUCUUGAGAUCGGAAGAGGUGAGUGGAAUUCCUAGUGUAGAGGUGAAAUUCGUAGAUAUUAGGAAGAACACCAGUGGCGAAGGCGGCUCACUGGUCCGAUACUGACGCUGAGGUGCGAAAGCGUGGGGAGCGAACAGGAUU